UUUUCCAGCGUACUUAUUUAUACAGAUGCAUCAAAAUGUUCAUUAUUUUAUACUCCAAAUACACAAGAAGUUUUUUUUUUAUUAUGUUCAAAAUUGCAUGAUCAUAACAAACAAAUAAUGUUUUAUUUAUUGUUGUUAAAAAAUAAAUGAGGUUGCCCUUUUUCAAAAAAAAAAAAAAAACAAAUAAUGUUUUAUAAAUUCAUUUAAAAGCAUCAGAUACAUUUCCAUAGGAACAAUACUCUACAUAAACACACAAAGAUACCAAAUUUGUAAGGAAAAAAGAAAUGACUAUAUGUUUAUUUUACUAUGAUUUUAUAAAUGGUUGAAAUUUAUAUUCAUUGUAAAAGAAAAAAAAUGACAUUGUAUACUACUCCCUCUGUUUUAUUAUAAGUGUCGUUUUAGGUUUCGGCACACGGAUUAAGGAAACAAUUAAUUUUGUACAUUUCCUAUAAAAAAACACUAUUACCUAUACACCUAACCAUAUUUCAACCAAUAGAAAAAUAAAUUUUGCAUAAAAUUAAUAAAUUUUGCAUUGAAAAUCGACAACGACACUUAUUUUGGAACGAAAAAAAUUCUCUAAAACGACACUUAAUAUGAAACGGAGAGAGUAUUAAUUAAUACUCCAUCUGUUUCAUUUUAAGUGUCACUUAGACACUUUUCACACAUUUUAAGAAAAAUUAUUGAAAUGUAUUUAUGUUUUUAUUAAUUACAUCUAAUUGACCAUUUGAGGUAAAUAAAUUUAUUUAUUAGAUCAAUGUAUUUUACAAUUAAUAUUCAGCAGAAAAUAAGUAAAAAUUGUAUAGAAAAUCUAAAACGAUAUUUUUUAUGUAACAAAAAAAAAUCUAAAGGGAUUUUUUUUUUGACAGCAAACAUUCACAUACUCAUGUAAACUUUGUAAACCAAUGCGGUAACUCGGCAUCCAUGUGUACGACGAAAGACGGUUGGUUCCGAGCACUGCGUGCCAAGCGAUCCGCCUUUAUGUUUUCCGUCCUAGGUACAUGACCGAUAUCUGCGUUGGUGAAGCUUCUUCUCAAAAGCAUAAUGUCUUCCAGGUAGCUUUCAAAUGUUGGUCAUUCCUCUGGUUCCGAAACCAUCUUCACCAAUUGAGAACAAUCCGUUGCAAACGUCACCCGAAACUGUCUUAAAUUCUUCAUACAUUCCAUUGCCCAAAUUAAUACUCCAUCUCCACAUGAAGAUGGGAGAGACAUACCCUUACAUUCCUUGCCCCUAACAAACCGUCAAACUCCGGUAGUGUGUUGAACCAACCUUGCCCUGAAAAUAAGUCCUUAUCUUUCCAAGAACCGUGUGUGAAACACCAUCUUUUUGUAGUCCCUGAAUUAGAUCUUAUAUGUACUUCAUGUACCAACCUAGGAUUAUUGAUAACAUGUGCCUCAGCCCAAAGUCUUGAUUCCAAUUCAUCUAAAUUAAGUGUUUCCCUCGGAUCAAUAUCAAGAUUACCGAAAACUUUAUUAUUUCGGCCUUCCAGAUAUACCAUAAUAUCCAUGCAAACUGAUGAUCUUCCAUUUUUGGGUUAAUUCUCCAAAAUAGAUGGUCCAUGUUAGCAAAAAGAGAGCCCAUAUGAAAAAGAUUUGGAUUCGAUGGAAUCUUGGAUAGUGCCCACACUUGACGUGUCGGGGGACAUUCAAAGAACACAUGAUUUAUUGAUUCCUCCGGAUAUCCACACUGUGCACAACACUUGCUAAUCUAUAUAAUACUAAAGGGAUACUCUUUAAGAAACAUAAGAAAUAUAUAAUACUGAACAUCACUAAAAAAUAAAGGGCAUGCAAGUGUGGGUCAAAUGUGAAGAUGGAGUUGGAAAGUAGAUGUUGCACGCACUUGCUGGCAAUUAGCAGGAUCAUAUGCAUGAAGGAAUGGUUAUUUACCUCAGAAUUUGUGUCUAAUUUAUUGGUGGCUAGUCACAUUUUCUUCUCUCUCUCCACAGGUUUGGAAUCUCCGUGAUUUUAUAUUUCAUGUGUGAAAGGACAGAGCCCAGUGACUUGAGUUGUGGAUUCCAAUAGAUUCCGUCACGUGAAAAACUCCAAUUAGAAGACGUCUCUUCUCUUCCCUCUUUUGUUUGCCUCUCCCAUGUCUCGGGGGUCAAUUCAAUUGGAUCCCCCACUCUCGUGGGAUCUUGUCCUCUCAUUCUUUUUUUUUUAUCAACUCUUGUCCUCUCAUUCAUGUUUUGAAGAUCCCACCUCUGUCGUCUUUAUUAUGUGAUUAACUAUAAAAUGAAUAAAAUAUUCUGAAAAUAAAGAACAAAAAUCACAACAACUGUUUAUCACCAGAAAUAUCUACUAGAUACCGCAUGAAAAUGAUAUAGUAAAGUGCAUCAAUACUUGAUUGAUUAUAAAGAAAAAAACAUAACUUAAAGUUGUUUAUUUGUAUUUUCAUUUACAUCGAUGCUGAUGAGUCCGGGUAUUUGAACCGCGAAAGUCUUCAGACACAAGGACGUCUCUUACUAUUCGGCCACCAUAAAUCAAGUGGAGAAGGCGAUUGUCUUCUUUCUUUUGCCCACUCAAUAGUUAUGAUCAAAUUUGAUCAGAUUUUCAAUGAUUACGUGUCUCUCUAUUCUUCUCUUUUCUGAAGAAAAGUUUUAUUUAUAGCGGAUUGAAGAAAACAUCCACCAAAAAAUCGCCAUGGAUUCGAGAUGCAGAAGAGGAUCUAGAGAUUAAAGCAAGAAGUUUGAUGUUGUCCAAGAAUGAAUUUUUCAAAACUUAUAUUUUGAUACAAUAUAUUUGGUAUCAAAAUAUAACGCUAAAACCAUCGAUCACGGAAGAGACGACAACAUCAAGGGGAAGAUUUAGUCUCUUUGUUUGAUGGCGAUAUUCAUACAAUCUUUGAAAAUUGGUCUUUCUAAUCUUUAUUUCUUAUGAUUGAAUCAAUAUUGGAUUUUGAGCGGAAAAAUAUAUAUAGAUUUAAAUUGGAUUAAUACCAGUGAAAAACAACAAAAAAAAUUAAUGUUUCUAAUGCGACAAAGAUUUAAAGAUCGUAAGAAAAUCAAUAGAGUUGAUGCUCUAUUAACAAAUACUUCUCAAAGGAGAAUCAUCUUAUCACUCUAUUUCAUGGAUUCUGUUGUUUUUCUAUCAUUUUGCAUAUGUUAUUUGUUGUGUUUUCAUCAUUUAUGUAUUUGUAAAAUUUCCUUACAUUA